AGGUAAGGCUGAAGGAGCUGAAGUCCAAGAAGAGACAAAGCCUAUAUGAAAACCAAGCUUGAACCAGACAGGAGACACCGCCACAUCUGAUUAUCAGAAGCCUUAACUGUCAGAACCUGCAAUCGAGGCCGAGUGGCCGCCGUUCCUUCCUGCACAAGCUGACGUGCCUGGACGCUGCCUGCGGGGCGAGGACCACUGUGCAGUGUCCCCGGAUCCGGACCAGAAGGCCCAUUCUCAACACAUACCCGUUCAUCUUCCUAGAUAGCACUUAAGGCAGGGAAAGAAGUCAGGCUGCCCAGAAAUGGCCCCGCUGGUGCGUAUGUUCAAAUGUGCAUUUUCUACCUACGUUUCGACACCUUCAGCAGCUCCAGGGACAUCGACGUGAGGCUCGACUGGCUCCCUUCACUCUGCAAAGCACCUGAGUUGUGAAAGCACCUCUUCACCACACCCCAGGGCCGGACGCUUUCUGGAAGGACAUUUCCAAGGAAGAUCAAACCGUUUAUUUUUGGUCGCGGUCCCAGCCCAAGGCAGUGCUGCUGGUUUGGGUUUCUUGAUUGCUUCGGGGGUGAGCUCCUUUCCCCUCCCAGGAAUCAGCAGUUCUGAUUUCUAAAACCUACCCUCACUCUUCCGAGUAUUUAUCUUCCCAAUGGGGGCUUAGCUGGCCUGUGUCAUUGUUCGUCAUUGUCGUUUGCUUUAGAAGGCGAUAAAGCAAUAAUCUAGCCAAUUUUCUUUGAAACUUGAUCUGUACAUAUGUUUUGACGUUACUCGUGUGAAUAGUUUGCUUCGAAGUAUCCGAUCACCUCAGGUUAUCUCACCCCUAUCCCCGCUUUUACAGGUGUGUCAUUGUCACCCAU